UACUCACUCCAGCAGCAAUAUACUAAGAUUGGAACGAUACAGAGAAGAUUAGCAUGGCCCUUCGCAAGGAUGACACGCAAAUUCAUGGCAUGUUCCAUAUUUUU